UCCCUGGUGGUCUAGUGGUUAGGAUUCAGCACUCUCACUGCUACUGCCUGGGUUCAAUUCCCUGUCAGGGAA
rnacentral:tRNA from 2 species